GGAAGUGUUUAGGAAAGCUGUGUAAGUCACAUGCAGGUGUGACUAGGCUGCACAAACAAAGUGAUCUAACUCCUAAAUGGCAGAGAAUUGAGCAGUGAGACUGUAGGGGCACGAUCUGUACACCAAAACUGCUUCAUUAAGCUAAAGUUGUUUUGGUGACUAUAGUGUCCCUUUAAGGGCUGAAAUAAAAAAAAAUAAAAAAACCUGAGGUGUCUUUAACAGCCAUCGACUCUCUUUUUUUGUUAUCCAUUGUGUAGGAUGACAAGCAGGUAGCU